rnacentral:rRNA from 1 species
CACUAUCGUUAACUGAAUACAUAGGUUAACGAGGCGAACCGGGGGAACUGAAACAUCUAAGUACCCCGAGGAAAAGAAAUCAACCGAGAUUCCCCCAGUAGCGGCGAGCGAACGGGGAGCAGCCCAGAGUCUGAAUCAGCUUGUGUGUUAGUGGAACGGUCUGGAAAGUCCGACGGUACAGGGUGAUAGUCCCGUACACCAAAAUGCACAGGUUGUGAACUCGAAGAGUAGGGCGGGACACGUGGUAUCCUGUCUGAAUAUGGGGGGACCAUCCUCCAAGGCUAAAUACUCCUGACUGACCGAUAGUGAACCAGUACCGUGAGGGAAAGGCGAAAAGAACCCCGGCGAGGGGAGUGAAAAAGAACCUGAAACCGUGUACGUACAAGCAGUGGGAGCACCUUCGGGUGUGACUGCGUACCUUUUGUAUAAUGGGUCAGCGACUUAUAUUCUGUAGCAAGGUUAACCGUAUAGGGGAGCCGCAGGGAAACCGAGUCUUAACUGGGCGUUAAGUUGCAGGGUAUAGACCCGAAACCCGGUGAUCUAGCCAUGGGCAGGUUGAAGGUUGGGUAACACUAACUGGAGGACCGAACCGACUAAUGUUGAAAAAUUAGCGGAUGACUUGUGGCUGGGGGUGAAAGGCCAAUCAAACCGGGAGAUAGCUGGUUCUCCCCGAAAGCUAUUUAGGUAGCGCCUCGUGAAUUCAUCUUCGGGGGUAGAGCACUGUUUCGGCUAGGGGGUCAUCCCGACUUACCAACCCGAUGCAAACUACGAAUACCGAAGAAUGUUAUCACGGGAGACACACGGCGGGUGCUAACGUCCGUCGUGAAGAGGGAAACAACCCAGACCGCCAGCUAAGGUCCCAAAGUCAUGGUUAAGUGGGAAACGAUGUGGGAAGGCACAGACAGCCAGGAUGUUGGCUUAGAAGCAGCCAUCAUUUAAAGAAAGCGUAAUAGCUCACUGGUCGAGUCGGCCUGCGCGGAAGAUGUAACGGGGCUAAACCAUGCACCGAAGCUGCGGCAGCGACACUAUGUGUUGUUGGGUAGGGGAGCGUUCUGUAAGCCUGCGAAGGUGUGCUGUGAGGCAUGCUGGAGGUAUCAGAAGUGCGAAUGCUGACAUAAGUAACGAUAAAGCGGGUGAAAAGCCCGCUCGCCGGAAGACCAAGGGUUCCUGUCCAACGUUAAUCGGGGCAGGGUGAGUCGACCCCUAAGGCGAGGCCGAAAGGCGUAGUCGAUGGGAAACAGGUUAAUAUUCCUGUACUUGGUGUUACUGCGAAGGGGGGACGGAGAAGGCUAUGUUAGCCGGGCGACGGUUGUCCCGGUUUAAGCAUGUAGGCUGGUUAUCCAGGCAAAUCCGGAUAAUCAAGGCUGAGGUGUGAUGACGAGGCACUACGGUGCUGAAGUAACAAAUGCCCUGCUUCCAGGAAAAGCCUCUAAGCAUCAGGUAACAUUAAAUCGUACCCCAAACCGACACAGGUGGUCAGGUAGAGAAUACCAAGGCGCUUGAGAGAACUCGGGUGAAGGAACUAGGCAAAAUGGUGCCGUAACUUCGGGAGAAGGCACGCUGGUGUGUAGGUGAAGUCCCUGCGGAUGGAGCUGAGACCAGUCGAAGAUACCAGCUGGCUGCAACUGUUUAUUAAAAACACAGCACUGUGCAAACACGAAAGUGGACGUAUACGGUGUGACGCCUGCCCGGUGCCGGAAGGUUAAUUGAUGGGGUUAUCCGUAAGGAGAAGCUCUUGAUCGAAGCCCCGGUAAACGGCGGCCGUAACUAUAACGGUCCUAAGGUAGCGAAAUUCCUUGUCGGGUAAGUUCCGACCUGCACGAAUGGCGUAAUGAUGGCCAGGCUGUCUCCACCCGAGACUCAGUGAAAUUGAACUCGCUGUGAAGAUGCAGUGUACCCGCGGCAAGACGGAAAGACCCCGUGAACCUUUACUAUAGCUUGACACUGAACAUUGAGCCUUGAUGUGUAGGAUAGGUGGGAGGCUUUGAAGCGUGGACGCCAGUCUGCGUGGAGCCAACCUUGAAAUACCACCCUUUAAUGUUUGAUGUUCUAACGUUGGCCCCUUACCGGGGUUGCGGACAGUGUCUGGUGGGUAGUUUGACUGGGGCGGUCUCCUCCCAAAGCGUAACGGAGGAGCACGAAGGUUAGCUAAUCCUGGUCGGACAUCAGGAGGUUAGUGCAAUGGCAUAAGCUAGCUUGACUGCGAGCGUGACGGCGCGAGCAGGUGCGAAAGCAGGUCAUAGUGAUCCGGUGGUUCUGAAUGGAAGGGCCAUCGCUCAACGGAUAAAAGGUACUCCGGGGAUAACAGGCUGAUACCGCCCAAGAGUUCAUAUCGACGGCGGUGUUUGGCACCUCGAUGUCGGCUCAUCACAUCCUGGGGCUGAAGUAGGUCCCAAGGGUAUGGCUGUUCGCCAUUUAAAGUGGUACGCGAGCUGGGUUUAGAACGUCGUGAGACAGUUCGGUCCCUAUCUGCCGUGGGCGCUGGAGAAUUGAGGGGGGCUGCUCCUAGUACGAGAGGACCGGAGUGGACGCAUCACUGGUGUUCGGGUUGUCAUGCCAAUGGCACUGCCCGGUAGCUAAAUGCGGAAGAGAUAAGUGCUGAAAGCAUCUAAGCACGAAACUUGCCCCGAGAUGAGUUCUCCCUGAGACUUUAAGUCUCCUGAAGGAACGUUGAAGACGACGACGUUGAUAGGCCGGGUGUGUAAGCGCAGCGAUGCGUUGAGCUAACCGGUACUAAUGAACCGUGAGGCUUAACCUU